GAUUCUAUGCAGGAAUAAUCCAGAUUCCUGCUGGGAACACAACAUAUCCCUGGGAAGCUGCCUCCCUCAAGGUGGACAAUCAGUGUCUUUGUCGAGUUAAUGCCAACAUUCGGAGCCCCGCACCAGCUCCACCCGGCAGCCCUCAGUCUGCCAGAGCUGUGCAGACGGGUCCACCUCACUUUGAAAAACACUGGAUUGUAUCGGGACAAAUCUAAUCAUCAAUGCUGGAUUUUCAUUAAUUUCUUGAUGGAUUAUUGAUGUUUUACAUCCCGCGGAUUCAACAUGUCAUCGACUCCUUUGCAAUAGCACAACGAGGAGUCCACACCAACUGAGAGGCUGGACAGAAAAUACAACUUUUUACUCACAGUGUUACCCUUGGAACCGGGGGCACCGGCAGCACCCUGAGGUCCUGGGGGUCCACGUGGUCCAGGGAAACCAGGAGCUCCGGCAAUUCCAGCAGCACCCUGCAGGGGGCGGCAGCAAACAGCAGAAACAGGGUCACAUCAUGCAGGACUGCCAAACACUUUUUUUGAGCAAGAAUGGGAUUUAAAAACUCAUCCCUGUCGUGCUAAUCAGGGAUAACAAAACAACACCGCCAUGGGGACUUACCUGUGGGCCGGAAGGUCCGCGCUCACCACCACGACCAGGUUUACCAGACUCGCCCUAAGAGAAAAGUGAAGGGGGUGAAUACAGUGAGUGGGCCGGGGGUACCACGAGGACCCAUGGCACCCUGCAAAGAAAUACACACACCAAGGCGAGAAUGACCACAAGCUACUGAGGCACAAUGCAGGCCUCUAGCUGUUGUAUGUUCCUAAUACUUACAGCAGGUCCGGCCUCUCCAGGCUCACCAGGAGGGCCAUUGAAUCCCUGAGGUCCCUGUAGGUAGAGAAACACAUCAAACACCAUUACUACUACAAUCACACAAAUAAAUUGUCAACAAUUAAUCUAGCAUGUGUAAAAUCCAAAAAGGCUUUUGCAUAGACUUGCAAAUUGAUUUCCGUUUAAUUAUCCUUUCUGGUACCUUUCUGGUGCUCGUCAAUAGCUCUAUCCAUGUUUGUCUAUGUCUUUCCAUUGACUAUAUAUGCAACCACUGCACUAUAAUUCUGAAAGAAGGCAGUUGUUCAUUCUUCAGGCAUUGAAAUCAAUGUUCUAUUCUUUUGGGAGUUAGAAUUGUUUUGCCACUGUGUGUAUAUUUUGGAAUUUAACACCGGUGCAAUAAAUGGGAAAAGAGUG